AGAUCUUUUGACCAAGGAUUACAACUCAUCAUAAAUUUGUUUUUUUCCUCAUCAAAUGAUUAUGGUCUGGUUUCAACAACAAUUACUGUGGAUGAAUUGUUAGCUGGUGCAAAGACGAAGUUAAGCUUCGAGCUACCUGAUCAGAAGUAUUGUACGGCUAGUUUCAUGUAACUGCAAUUGGGAGAUGUACUUGUUCUUGCCUCAGACCAAUUUUGUCAUGAGUUCAAUUUUUAUGAUGCCUCUGGUUGCAGCUUGAUGUCCAGUACCUUCAUCACCAUGUUGCUUUUAAUUCUGGCAUUGGCUUGACACCAACCCCACUGCUGGAGUUCUCCGCAGCAAUUGGCAGCAGGGGACUUUGUCUAGGAGCUGAGAUUGGAUUUAAUAGUGCAUCUACUUCUUUCACCAAAUACAAUGCCGGUGUAGGCUUAAGUCUGAUUUUUCUGCUGCUCUUAUAAUGUAAGUGCACUCUCUACUAUUUGUGGUUGAGUUCAAUCCCAAUUUUGAUGAAAAAUCAGUUGCGAGAAACUUCAUAUCACAGAAAUUAUUAUCAUUCUCCAAAUGCUUUAUCCCUGUAAAAUGUACUGUUAGCAUUAUGAAUUUGAUACUUGGUAA